rnacentral:rRNA from 1 species
CCUACGGGGGGCAGCAGUGAGGAAUAUUGGUCAAUGGGCGCAGGCCUGAACCAGCCAAGUAGCGUGAAGGAUGACUGCCCUAUGGGUUGUAAACUUCUUUUAUAUGGGAAUAAAGUUUUCCACGUGUGGAAUUUUGUAUGUACUUUAUGAAUAAGGAUCGGCUAACUCCGUGCCAGCAGCCGCGGUAAUACGGAGGAUCCGAGCGUUAUCCGGAUUUAUUGGGUUUAAAGGGAGCGUAGAUGGGUUGUUAAGUCAGUUGUGAAAGUUUGCGGCUCAACCGUAAAAUUGCAAUUG